AUUGAACGCUGGCGGCAUGCCUUACACAUGCAAGUCGAACGGUAACAGGUCUUCGGAUGCUGACGAGUGGCGAACGGGCGAGUAAUACAUCGGAACGUGCCCGAUCGUGGGGGAUAACGGAGCGAAAGCUUUGCUAAUACCGCAUACGAUCUACGGAUGAAAGCAGGGGACCGCAAGGCCUUGCGCGGACGGAGCGGCCGAUGGCCGAUUAGGUAGUUGGUGGGAUAAAAGCUUACCAAGCCGACGAUCUGUAGCUGGUCUGAGAGGACGAGCAGCCACACUGGGACUGAGACACGGCCCAGACUCCUACGGGAGGCAGCAGUGGGGAAUUUUGGACAAUGGGCGAAAGCCUGAUCCAGCCAUGCCGCGUGCAGGGUGAAGGCCUUCGGGUUGUAAACUGCUUUUGUACGGAACGAAAAGACUCUUUCUAAUAAAGAGGGUCCAUGACGGUACCGGAAGAAUAAGCACCGGCUAACUACGUG
rnacentral:rRNA from 1 species